GACGAACGCUGGCGGCGUGCUUAACACAUGCAAGUCGAACGAAGUGGCGCACGGGUGAGUAUUACGUGGGUAACCUGCCCUCCUUUUUGGGAUAAGCCUUGUAAACGGGGUCUAAUACCGAUCAAAGGGGGAUGGGCUCGCGGACUAUCAGCUUGUUGGUGGGGUGAAGGCCUACCAAGGCGGUGACGGGUAGCCGGCCUGAGAGGGUGACCGGACACGAUAGGACUGAGAUACGGCCAAGGGUCCUACGGGAGGCAGCAGUGGGGGAUAUUGCACAAUGGGCGAGAGACAGAUGCAGCGGCGCCGGGUGGGGGAUGAAGGCUUUCGGGUUGUAAACCUCUUUCGCAAGCGAACGGGUAGGUGGAGAAGAAGCGCCGGCUAACUACGUGCCAGCAGCCGCGGUAAUUC
rnacentral:rRNA from 1 species